rnacentral:rRNA from 1 species
CCUACGAGUGGCAGCAGUGAGGAAUAUUGGUCAAUGGGAGAGAUCCUGAACCAGCCAAGCCGCGUGAGGGAAGACGGCCCUAUGGGUUGUAAACCUCUUUUGUCGGAGAACAAAACCCGGGACGUGUCCCGGACUGCGUGUAUCCGAAGAAAAAGCAUCGGCUAACUCCGGGCCAGCAGCCGCGGUAAGACGGAGGAUGCGAGCGUUAUCCGGAUUUAGUGGGUUUAAAGGGUGCGUAGGCGGUCCGUUAAGUCAGCGGUAAAAUUGCGGGGCUCAACCCCGUCGAGCCGUUGAAACUGGCAGACUUGAGUUGGCGAGAAGUACGCGGAAUGCGCGGUGUAGCGGGGAAAUGCAUAGAUAUCGCGCAGAACUCCGAUUGCGAAGGCAGCGUACCGGCGCCAGACUGACGCUGAGGCACGAAAGCGUGGGGAUCGAACAGGAUUAGAUACCCCAGUAGUC